CGUUCUUUCAAAUCUUUUGGGAAAAGGAGGUAGAAUGUGAAAGCUUACCUUUGGGUCAGUCUUUUGCGCAGGAGGAGCUGCGGAUUGCGAUGAAGAGGCUUCAGAUCGCCUUGGAUGUUGUGCAGAGGGUGUCUCAGAUGAUGUACGCUUUGGUUCAACUUGCUUUUCCUCCUCAAAUUUUGCAUCUUGAAGCUCUUUCCCACUUCUCAAAGUAAUGGCACUUACAUUUUGUUUGGGAUUUGCCUCAGUUUGGGAUGGCAACUUUCCUUGAGUUUCCAAUCUGUUUAUGGAGGUGGCCAUUUGUCCUAUCUGUUGUUGUAUCAUUUGCAAGGUCUUCACUACUUCAUUCAUAGUGUUAUUGUCCACUGGAGGUGCUGGUUGGACUUGGCUUCUUUGGUAACCUUGGUGAUUCUGAUCAGUGUUGCCCUUUCCAUAGCUGAAAUUGGGAUGGUCUCUCCAACCUGGAUUAUAGGUGUUGGAGUAUGGAUCAUAUCUAGGCUGGUUGUUGUUGUAAUACCCGGCUAGACUUCGGUAUCGGAAUUCCUACCGUCCGGUGGAAUCUCGAAUGUCGGAGACCUCUAGAAGGGUAAAACCAUGUUUUCAUGAGAUGUUUUAAUGUUUUUGAUGAUUUUGAAUGAAAAGGAAAUGAGUUUUUGAAUAAGAACAACCUUGGAGGAAAGCUCAGGUUCGGCCGCCGAACCUCAAGUUCGGUCGCCGAAUAUGCAUGCGUUGCGGGUGUGCUUUAGGCCCCCGAAAGUAUAAGUGAGGGAAGUCCAGGUUCGGCCGCCGAACCUCAAGUUCGGCCGCCGAACAUGGCAUGCAUGCGGAGGCACAUUCGGCCCCCGAACGUGGCCUGGCCAGCCACUAUAAAAGGGUCCCUUAGCCGAAAACGAGCGAGUUUUCCCCAUUUUCGGCCAAGGUGAGCUCUCCACCGCCCCUCACCGAUCUUUGAUGCUUUUCCUCUAGAUCCUUCAAGUUUUUCACUUGUUUUAACCUUGUUUUGAAGAUUUCAGCUUUUGGGCAAAGUUUUGGAGCUUUGAGGUUCAAGAACUCAAAUCUCUCCCAACCCCAAGUUUGGUCGCCUCUACUCUCGAUCUUCAAGAGGUAAGAGUCGAUCUCUAGCUUAUAUUAUGUUUUAAGCAAGUUUUAUGAAGUUCAUGGGGGUAGGAUGCAUGUUUAGGUUAAAGUUAUGUUUAUGGGUAUAAAUGUAUGUUCAUGAACAAUGUGGCUUGCAAAUGCUUGUGUAUGUGUGUGUAGUUGGGGUUUAAGUUAGUUUGAGACCCCUAGGAGCUUGUGUGCAUGUUUUGGUUGAGCUAAAAGCAUGAUGGUAUGAGUUUGAGGCUUUUGUGCAUAUUUGAACCAAGUUUCUGCCAUUUGGGAGAAACUAGGUUCGGCAGCCGAAGGGACUUUCGGCCGCCGAACCCUCUUGUGGAGGCAGCCUUCGGCUGCCGAAGCUUGCCCCCGAAAGGAGACUUUCGUCUCUGUCUGGGAGUUUCGGCCGCCGAAAGUGCCGCCGAACAUGCAUGAGUUUCGCCUCUGUCUGGGAGUUUCGGCCGCC
rnacentral:lncRNA from 1 species